rnacentral:rRNA from 1 species
CCUACGGGCGGCAGCAGUGGGGAAUAUUGCACAAUGGGCGCAAGCCUGAUGCAGCCAUGCCGCGUGUGUGAAGAAGGCCUUCGGGUUGUAAAGCACUUUCAGCGGGGAGGAAGGCGGUGAGGUUAAUAACCUCAUCGAUUGACGUUACCCGCAGAAGAAGCACCGGCUAACUCCGUGCCAGCAGCCGCGGUAAUACGGAGGGUGCAAGCGUUAAUCGGAAUUACUGGGCGUAAAGCGCACGCAGGCGGUCUGUCAAGUCGGAUGUGAAAUCCCCGGGCUCAACCUGGGAACUGCAUUCGAAACUGGCAGGCUAGAGUCUUGUAGAGGGGGGUAGAAUUCCAGGUGUAGCGGUGAAAUGCGUAGAGAUCUGGAGGAAUACCGGUGGCGAAGGCGGCCCCCUGAACAAAGACUGACGCUCACGUGCGAAAGCGUGGGGAGCAAACAGGAUUAGAUACCCGGGUAGUC